AGGACCACCAGGAGGGAAUCAUGUCUAUCUCUGUUGUGUCAUUGUUGUGUUAGUGUUGCCUUUCAACACUUGAUGAAUGCUAAUGUAGCCACCUUGGGGUUAUUCAUCGUGAUGGAAAUCAGGGACACCAUGAAUCACGGAAAUCCCCAGAUGAGAAAACAGAUCCCAGAGAGGUGAAAAGAUUUGCCUUGUAUCUAGAAUAUAAAAUUUCAUGGCAAGAGGAAAGUCUCUUGUCCCAGACUUCCCAGUGUACUCACUAUGCUGCUUCAGAGACAUCAUUGAAUCACAUGAUUAUGGUCUUCCAAGAAAGAGUUCUGGAUUGGAUCAAAUGACAUACUAGAUGAAAGGCCUUGGUGAACUAUAAAGCAUGACUCAUAGCUGAGAUACUAUGGGAGAAUUUCUCCUUGACUGAGAUGAGUUAUCUUACUCCCAAUGAGAGAGCUCAUUCAUUUUAUAUAUUGUCAGGUGCUGCUCUAGUGACUUUUCUCCCUCAUCUGUACCUUCCAGUGUGCCAAACUGAGAUAAAAAUAUUCUCCUCUGGGGAAAUUUCAAGAUCAAUAAAUGGAAAAAGCCAGAGGCAACAUGUCAAGGGGAGGGAAAAGACUGAUGAUAUAUGACAUUUUCAACCACAGCCAGAGAGAUUGGAUAUUUAUAACUUUGGCAACCGACUUUGGAGAUUUUCUCUCUAGGUAUCCCAACUGGUGGCACGUGACUCUUUUACCCUUUAAUUUGGUUUAACAAAGUAAUCUUGACUUCCAAUUUAUACCAUGCUCUUCCCUGGUGGUAUAUGCAUUUUGUAGAAAACAGCCACAAGCAAGUUCUAGAAUAUUCUCCUGUCUUUCCCAAUGGAUAGCACUUGGCACCCUGCCUGUUCUUGUUGUUAGUCUAUGCUACUUGAAAAAAUUUGCAUAAAUAAUUUUCCUUCUCCUGAUUAAACUCUGCUUUCGCAGAAAGGCUUACUACUUACCAGAUUGAUGGAGUUCAAAACACAAGUUAAUUUGAGUUAUUUCCUCUUUCUCAAUUCACUGACUUAUUUGAAAAAGCAAUAACAAAAGCCUGGGAUACAUCAGGAAGGCAAAACUGUAAUUUGGUUAAAGAGCUUCAUUCUUAAUUACCUUGCUAUUAAAUUUCCCACAUUGCUUCAAUUCACAGCCUCAGGACUGCAUUUCCAUUUUCAAUUGA
rnacentral:lncRNA from 1 species